AGAGCUGGACCCAGAAGCAGAGCUGAACCUGAACCAUGAACUAGUCUGUGUCCAGACUCCACAGACCACCCGGCUUCACUUCAACUAUAAACAUCCCAUUCUUGUCUCUCCACCAGCAAUGAGUUAAUCUCCUUUCAACCAACACCUGUCCAGGAAAAUCAAGGAGCUGGAGAAAGGGGUGUAGCAAAGACCAGAGGAAAUAACAGAAUGUGGUUGAUUGAAAAAGGCAUGAAACCAAACCAAGAACCACACUGCGGGUAGAGACCGUUACAGAAAACCAUAGCUGGUCAAAGGACAGAGAACAGCUUACCAUCUACAAUGGAUUCAUCACAACACAGUUAGGUCCUCAACGCCUACACCUGGGUUUUGGGAGCAUCAGGGAAGAAGAGCCUGACAGCCAAAUGACCAGGAAAUCUACUGUGAGACUCUGUCUCCUAGAAAUGACAGAGAAGCUUGACACCUCAACAAUGUGGCUGCCUGAGCAUUUGCAAUUCUAACUCCCCUGGUGGCUUCUGUGGAUGUCCAUCCUGGCGAAAGCUAAGCGUAGGAAGUCCAGCUCUACUGAGAGUCUAGCUAUUCUCACUAGAGGAGUUCCAUGCAAAGACAGAAGAGACUUCCACCUCAUCCCCCAAUGAGUACCCAGCUUCUGAAUCAAGUCCACAGGGAUUCCCCAAACCAGUCCUUCUGAGUUCCUUGUUAUAUGAUGGGUAAAACAAAAUAGUUACUCUGCCUUUUCUAUGCUCAGUGUCCUGGUGAGCAGAAAUCAUAAGAAUGAUGGUUAUUUUUCAAUACCGUGAUAUUAGUAGUACAAUUUGAUGCACACCACUGAC
rnacentral:sRNA from 1 species